ensembl:lncRNA
CUCGUGUGAAGCUACAUAAAAUAGUUGUCGAAUUUACUUUCAGUUUCACUACUACUUUCACUUACUAUUUCAGUUAAACACUAUUUAAAAUAUUUAUUAUACAUGAAAACAUUUGAUCAAGUUGAAAUGUCUUCAGCUCUUGGUUAAAUGCUGUUAACAUACAAACAAACAAACAGACCAGAAAACAUACAGUAUUCUUCCUUGUUUUUUUGUCAUUCCUGUGACAGUUGUAAUCACUCCGUUGUUCCUCCAGGUGGAAGCAGAGGUCUUUGUGGAGCUGAUGGUCCUAAAACGUUGUCAGAAAGCAGACAUGAUAAGAGUGAAGCUCAGGGAUGAUUUCAAUGCGGUACGGAGACCCAAUAAAAUAUUCAUUAUAUUCAAUGCUUUUAUGAAAUAAAGAGUGUGGUCACAGAGAUUAAGUGACAGAACUUAUUUUCUCUCAACCUGCUCUUUCAACACCUUUCUCCCUCUCUCUUUCAUCUCUCUUUCUACACCUUUAUCCCUCUCUCUUUCAUCUCUCUCUCUACACCUCUCUUUCUAUACCUUUCUCCCUCUCUCUUUCAUCUCUCUUUCUACACCUUUCUCCCUCUCUCUUUCAUCUCUCUUUCUACACCUUUCUCCCUCUCUCUUUCAUCUCUCUCUCUACACCUCUCUUUCUAUACCUUUCUCCCUCUCUCUUUCAUCUCUCUUUCUACACCUUUCUCCCUCUCUCUUUCAUCUCUCUUUCUACACCUUUCUCCCUCUCUCUUUCAUCUCUCUCUCUACACCUCUCUUUCUAUACCUUUCUCUCCCUCUCUCUUUCAUCUCUGUUUCUACACCUUUCUCCCUCUCUCUUUCAUCUCUCUUUCUACACCUUUCUCCCUCUCUCUUUCAUCUCUCUCUCUACACCUCUCUUUCUAUACCUUUCUCCCUCUCUCUUUCAUCUCUCUUUCUACACCUUUCUCCCUCUCUCUUUCAUCUCUCUCUCUACACCUCUCUUUCUAUACCUUUCUCCCUCUCUCUUUCUACACCUCUCUCUCUACACCUCUCUCUCUACACCUCUCUCUCUACACCUCUCUUUCAACACCUUUCUCCCUCUCUCUUUCUACACCUCUCUCUCUACACCUCUCUCUCUACACCUCUCUUUCAACACCUUUCUCCCUCUCUCUCUCUACACCUCUCUCUCUACACCUCUCUCUCUACACCUCUCUUUCAACACCUUUCUCCCUCUCUCUUUCUACACCUCUCUUUCUACACCUCUCUCUACACCUCUCUUUCAACACCUUUCUCCCUCUCUCUUUCAUCUCUCUUUCUACACCUCUCUCUCUACACCUCUCUUUCUACACCUCUCUUUCUACACCUUUCUCCAUCUCUUUCAUCUCUCUUUCUACACCUCUCUCUCUACACCUCUCUUUCUAUACCUUUCUCUCUACACCUCUCUUUCUACACCUUUCUCCCUCUCUCUUUCAUCUCUCUUUCUACACCUUUCUCCCUCUCUCUUUCAGCUCUCUCUCUACACCUCUCUUUCUAUACCUUUCUCCCUCUCUCUUUCAUCUCUCUUUCUACACCUUUCUCCCUCUCUCUUUCAUCUCUCUUUCUACACCUUUCUCCCUCUCUCUUUCAUCUCUCUCUCUACACCUCUCUUUCUAUACCUUUCUCUCCCUCUCUCUUUCAUCUCUCUUUCUACACCUUUCUCCCUCUCUCUUUCAUCUCUCUUUCUACACCUUUCUCCCUCUCUCUUUCAUCUCUCUCUCUACACCUCUCUUUCUAUACCUUUCUCCCUCUCUCUUUCAUCUCUCUUUCUACACCUUUCUCCCUCUCUCUUUCAUCUCUUUCAUCUCUCUCUCUACACCUCUCUUUCUAUACCUUUCUCCCUCUCUCUUUCUACACCUCUCUCUCUACACCUCUCUCUCUACACCUCUCUCUCUACACCUCUCUUUCAACACCUUUCUCCCUUUCUCUUUCUACACCUCUCUCUCUACACCUCUCUCUCUACACCUCUCUUUCAACACCUUUCUCCCUCUCUCUCUCUACACCUCUCUCUCUACACCUCUCUCUCUACACCUCUCUUUCAACACCUUUCUCCCUCUCUCUUUCAUCUCUCUUUCUACACCUCUCUCUCUACACCUCUCUUUCUACACCUCUCUUUCUACACCUUUCUCCCUCUCUCUUUCAUCUCUCUUUCUACACCUCUCUCUCUACACCUCUCUUUCUAUACCUUUCUCUCUACACCUCUCUUUCUACACCUUUCUCCCUCUCUCUUUCAUCUCUCUUUCUACACCUCUCUCUCUACACCUCUCUUUCAACACCUUUCUCCCUCUCUCUUUCAUCUCUCUUUCUACACCUCUCUCUCUACACCUCUCUUUCUACACCUCUCUCUCUACACCUCUCUUUCUACACCUUUCUCCCUCUCUCUUUCAUCUCUCUUUCUACACCUCUCUCUCUACACCUCUCUUUCAACACCUUUCUCCCUCUCUCUUUCAUCUCUCUUUCUACACCUCUCUCUCUACACCUCUCUUUCUAUACCUUUCUCCCUCUCUCUUUCAUCUCUCUUUCUACACCUCUCUUUCUACACCUUUCUCCCUCUCUCUUUCAUCUCUCUUUCUACACCUCUCUCUCUACACCUCUCUUUCUACACCUUUCUCCCUCUCUCUUUCAUCUCUCUUUCUACACCUCUCUUUCUACACCUCUCUUUCUACACCUUUCUCCCUCUCUCUUUCAUCUCUCUUUCUACACCUCUCUCUCUACACCUCUCUUUCUACACCUUUCUCCCUCUCUCUUUCAUCUCUCUUUCUACACCUCUCUUUCUACACCUCUCUUUCUACACCUUUCUCCCUCUCUCUUUCAUCUCUCUUUCUACACCUCUCUCUCUACACGUCUCUUUCUACACCUUUCUCCCUCUCUCUUUCAUCUCUCUUUCUACACCUCUCUCUCUACACCUCUCUUUCUACACCUUUCUCCCUCUCUCUUUCAUCUCUCUUUCUACACCUCUCUUUCUACACCUUUCUCCCUCUCUCUUUCAUCUCUCUUUCUACACCUCUCUCUCUACAUCUCUCUUUCUACACCUUUCUCCCUCUCUCUUUCAUCUCUCUUUCUACACCUCUCUCUCUACACCUCUCUUUCUAUACAUUUCUCGCUCUCUCUUUCAUCUCUCUUUCUACACCUCUCUCUCUACUCUCUACACCUCUCUUUCUAUACCUUUCUCCCUCUCUCUUUCAUCUCUCUUUCUACACCUCUCUCUCUACACCUCUCUUUCUAUACCUUUCUCCCUCUCUCUUUCAUCUCUCUUUCUACACCUCUCUCUCUACACCUUUCUUUCAACACCUUUCUCCCUCUCUCUUUCAUCUCUCUUUCUACACCUCUCUCUCUACACCUCUCUUUCUACACCUUUCUCCCUCUCUCUUUCAUCUCUCUUUCUACACCUCUCUCUCUACACCUCUCUUUCAACACCUUUCUCCCUCUCUCUUUCAUCUCUCUUUCUACACCUCUCUCUCUACACCUCUCUUUCAACACCUUUCUCCCUCUCUCUUUCAUCUCUCUUUCUACACCUCUCUCUCUACACCUCUCUUUCUACACCUUUCUCCCUCUCUCUUUCAUCUCUCUUUCUACACCUCUCUCUCUACAGCUCUCUCUCUACACCUCUCUUUCAACACCUUUCUCCCUCUCUCUUUCUUCCUCCAUCCCCUUCUUUCCAUUUCCUCUCUAUUUAUUCAGAUUUAUUGUAGUUUAUUUGGGAUCAUUCACCACAAUUA